rnacentral:rRNA from 1 species
CUGCGGAGGGUCAUUA